rnacentral:misc_RNA from 1 species
GGCGAAUCAAAAUCCCCAUUUAUGGAUACAACGCAUCUGAUAAAGUUCAUUUAUAAAGGCUAAAAUUGUAACAACAAGGUACCUGAGAAAUCAAAAAAAUACCUUUAUUUGGCGAUAAACUAAUCUCUGAAAGCAAACAAAACAGAGAUUAAAUACAUAAAUUAAAAAAACAAAUUUGAUGGAUAGUGGAAUUCUACGGCAGAUCAGCUACAUGAUCUUACGACAGUGAUUAAAUCCAUACCAGACUCCAUUAGGAAGAAGCUUAUUAUAUUUAAAGGUAAUCGCAGGACGAUCUGAACCGUACACCUUGACGCUCUCCGGUUUCCAGCCGUCGGAUCCAACUCUCUUCAAGUAAAGGUAGCAGAUCUCAUAAAUACAGGGGCCGCGGAUCUGGAAAGUAUCCGUAGAACAGGUCUCGAAUAUCCUUGAUGAUGGAUUAUCUAUCCUGGGCGCAUAGACCUCAAAUCCAUAAGCAUCUCCAAAAGCAAUACUGACUCUGUCUCUGGUGUAUUUAGGUGAAGAACAGCUUGUUUUGAUGGUCAAUGUGUAUGAGCAGCUUCUAGCAGCAGUGGCGCUAUGAUUGGUCUCGAUGAAAAUUAAGGGUUUUAUUGAAGUUGAUGUUGCUUGUGAGAAACUGAUGAAGAAGAAUACAGCUAAACUGAGCACAACGAACUGAC